rnacentral:rRNA from 1 species
GAUAAACGCUGGCGGCGCACAUAAGACAUGCAAGUCGAACGGAAGUCGUUAUAAAAAGGAUUGAAGAUUUAUCUGAUUGAGAUUUUAUAACAAUGGCUUUAGUGGCGGACUGGUGAGUAACGCGUGAGCAACCUGCCUACUAGAGGGGAAUAACAGUGAGAAAUCAUUGCUAAUACCGCAUAUGCCAUGAACAUCACAUGAUGAAAAUGGGAAAAGAGUAAUCUGCUAGUAGAUGGGCUCGCGUCUGAUUAGAUAGUUGGUGGGGUAACGGCCUACCAAGUCAACGAUCAGUAGCCGGACUGAGAGGUUGAACGGCCACAUUGGGACUGAGAUACGGCCCAGACUCCUACGGGAGGCAGCAGUCGGGAAUAUUGCGCAAUGGAGGAAACUCUGACGCAGUGACGCCGCGUAUAGGAAGAAGGUUUUCGGAUUGUAAACUAUUGUCGUUAGGGAAGAUAAAAGACAGUACCUAAGGAGGAAGCUC